rnacentral:rRNA from 1 species
AAUUAACUCACUAGGUAGUAAUAUAAACCAACAUGUAUUGGCGGUCUUUAUAACUUAGAGAAACUCGCUUCAUAAUCGUAAACACCCGCUAAUUUUAACUUUUAACUAAUUGCCUAUAUACCGCCGUUUAGAGUAUAAUACAAAAUAGUAUUCAGAAUCUUCCUCUCAAGAAAAAAUCAGGUCAAGGUGUAGCUAAUUUUAAAGUAGAAGUAAGUUACACUAAAAACAAUUUAAGAAUUAAAUAUAAAAACAUAUAUGAAAGAGAAUUUAUCAGUACGAAUUAGUCAAAAACUAAGCCCGAAUUAUAUACUUAAAGAUGC